ACUCUUGAGCUGGAGGAAAGUACCAGGGUUCCAUCACAAUUCUAAGCCAACCAUCCCAUUGGAAGUCCUCUUUCCACUGCCACCUGUAUCUUUCUUUGGACUGGUUUACAUCUUCUGCGGACACAAAUCCUCAACACGUGCUCAUAGUUCACAUUCUAGAUAAAAUUUAAUGAAGUAAAUACAUCCAUUAAAAUAAAAUAUGUGAAAAGAUGAUCUAAGUGCAGGGCAUUAAUGAAGAACUCAUUCAGGAGGCUGUUGUAUCAGCUUGACAAGACCUGAGAAUUCUGUCAAAAAAAAGGCAAUUUCUGGAGAGUUUUAACCCUUCUGACCAUUUGGAUUAGCAGGCACACAAAUUGCCACGACAAAACACCCGCUGGGAACUACUAAUCCUGCAGUGUUUCUUCAUGCAACGUUUAAAAGUGCAGGCUGCUAUUACUUCAAAAACCAAGCAGGCAUUUCUCAUAAAGCUUCUCAGAUAUAUAUCAUAAACAGAUUUCAUUGAAGUGCUUUCUUUCUGUGCCAGUGCCAUUAAAGAAAAUGUUGAAUGAGAUUGGGAUCAAGACUCAUAUUUAGGUCUUCCACAAGUAACCUUCCUUCACC